AUGAUGAAUUCAUUCUGGUAUUUUGCCAAUAAUGACUUUCUUGAUUCGGGUAUCAGACACAAUCCUAGCUAUGUGUGGAGAAGUAUCUGGAACUCAAAGUUUGUUGUUCGUGGUGGUUCCAAAUGGAGUAUAGGCUCGGGUGAGAAUAUUUCGGUUGCUAAUCACGAUCACCGGGUUGUUUCGCUACAACUUUGUGGAGUUUAUGGAAAAGUAGGAAUAACAAGAUUUUGA